rnacentral:rRNA from 1 species
AGUGAACGCUGGCGGUAGGCCUAACACAUGCAAGUCGAACGGCAGCACAGUAAGAGCUUGCUCUUACGGGUGGCGAGUGGCGGACGGGUGAGGAAUACAUCGGAAUCUACUUUUUCGUGGGGAUAACGUAGGGAAACUUACGCUAAUACCGCAUACGACCUACGGGUGGAAGCAGGGGAUCUUCGGACCUUGCGCGAUUGAAUGAGCCGAUGUCGGAUUAGCUAGUUGGCGGGGUAAAGGCCCACCAAGGCGACGAUCCGUAGCUGGUCUGAGAGGAUGAUCAGCCACACUGGAACUGAGACACGGUCCAGACUCCUACGGGAGGCAGCAGUGGGGAAUAUUGGACAAUGGGCGCAAGCCUGAUCCAGCCAUACCGCGUGGGUGAAGAAGGCCUUCGGGUUGUAAAGCCCUUUUGUUGGGAAAGAAAAGCAGCAGGUUAAUACCCCGCUGUUCUGACGGUACCCAAAGAAUAAGCACCGGCUAACUUCGUG